rnacentral:rRNA from 1 species
GACAGAGGUGCCGAGCGUUAGGCGGAAUCACUGGGCUUAAAGCGUGUGUAGGCGGACUUCUAAGUACCUUGUGAAAUCCCACGGCUCAACCGUGGAACUGCUCGGUAUACUGGUUGUCUUGAGCCACUUAGGGGCAGUCGGAACAGACGGUGGAGCGGUGAAAUGCGUAGAUAUCAGGAGGAAUACCGGUGGCGAAAGCGACUCUCUGGACGGUAACUGACGCUGAGGCACGAAAGCGUGGGGAGCAAACAGG